CGGGCGGGGCCAUGUUGGGGACGGGCACGGAGCGGCUCUGCUGGGCGGGCGGCGGCUCCGUACGGGAGAGGGGCGCGGGCUGUCCCCGGCACUGUUACUAAUGCUACAGUGAAACUGGAGCAGAAAGAGGUUCAGUGGCACCUCCUUCAAAGCAAAGAAAAAGUUCCAAUGGAAGUGAAUCUUCCAGAAUUUCAAAUCCUGGCUGUGUAUUCACUGUGACUCUUCCCCUGGUUGGUGUGAACCUUCAGGAUACCUCACAGAACAGCCAAGAACAUAAAUGCACCCAUGGGUUGGACUGAUGGCCCUUUUAGCCCUGUCAUCACUCUCUGAUUUGCACAGGAGUUAAUCUGAAUUUCCAGAGUUCAAGUUUGGCAUCUCCAGCAGCAACUUCUUUUUUGUCAGGUCACAUGUCAGGAUAUGAAUUACAAAACUUAAUUACAAGUUGUACUCUGCUGUCCUUUCUACCAAUUUUAAGGCAAGUGAAACAUCUCAAAACCACAGCUGUAGAACUCUAGAUUUCCAACCAGGUGUCUGUAGCUGUGGUUUUGAGUCGACUUGAUUAUCUUUAUUUCUCAUUCAGCUUUCUGUUUCCACCUUUUUUAAAACAUCCAUUUACAAAGGAGCUUU